rnacentral:rRNA from 1 species
UACGAAGGGGGCUAGCGUUGCUCGGAAUCACUGGGCGUAAAGCGCACGUAGGCGGAUUGUUAAGUCAGGGGUGGAAAUCCUGGAGCUCAACUCCAGAACUGCCUUUGAUACUGGCGAUCUUGAGUCCGGGGAGAGGUGAGUGGAACUGCGAGUGUAGAGGUGAAAUUCGUAGAUAUUCGCAAGAACACCAGUGGCGAAGGGCGGCUCACUGGCCCGGUACUGACGCUGAGGUG